rnacentral:rRNA from 1 species
CCUACGGGAGGCAGCAGUGAGGAAUAUUGGUCAAUGGCCGGAAGGCUGAACCAGCCAUGCCGCGUGAAGGUCAGUGCCCUAUGGGCGUUAAACUUCUUUUGUGCGGGAGCAAUAAUGGUCACGUGUGGCCAGACGAGAGUACCGUACGAAUAAGCAUCGGCUAACUCCGUGCCCGCAGCCGCGGUAAUACGGGAGAUGCAAGCGUUAUCCGGAGUUAUUGGGUUUAAAGGGUGCGUAGGCUGUGAGGUAAGUCAGCGGUGAAAUGCCCCCGCUCAAAGGGGUGAAGUGCCAUUGAUACUGCCUUGCUGGAAGGCGGAUGCGGUGGGAGGAAUGUGUGGUGUAGCGGUGAAAUGCAUAGAUAUCACACAGAACACCGAUUGCGAAGGCAUCUCACGAAUCCGCGAUUGACGCUGAUGCACGAAAGCGUGGGUAUCAAACAGGAUUAGAUACCCUAGUAGUC